rnacentral:rRNA from 1 species
GACGGAGGGGGCAAGCGUUGUUCGGAAUUACUGGGCGUAAAGGGCGCGUAGGCGGCCUUCUAAGUCAGACGUGAAAUCCCCCGGCUUAACCUGGGAACUGCGUCUGAUACUGGAAGGCUUGAGUAUGGGAGAGGGAUGUAGAAUUCCAGGUGUAGCGGUGAAAUGCGUAGAUAUCUGGAGGAAUACCGGUGGCGAAGGCGGCAUCCUGGACCAUUACUGACGCUGAGGCGCGAAAGCUAGGGGAGCAAACGGG